AAAUCGGAACCGUGUAAACGUAGUCAUUAAGUGCUUCUAUAACUUCGGAUAAUCGUCGUGCUGGUCCGAACCGCGUAUCGAUUGCUAUCGAUAUAUCCUCCGACCCCUUCGUAUAAAUCCUAGACACUACCCCGAAGGAUUCUAACCUAGAAGUAUCGCGUCGUUUCGUUCGGUCAAGGCAGUGUUUUGUGCGUGGUUGGGACAACGGCUGCAAUAACAGUGUCGAGCUAAAAGUACGAAGAGAGUGUGGCGCCAAAGAGUACCCGAGGGCUCGGUAAGGUUAGCGACCUUGACGUACAUGGUAAAGGACAGACCGUGCCGAGGGGCGCCCUUCGUGCAUCCAUCAUUGCUAUCCGGCAAUCAGUGCCAAGCAACAUUAUCGGUCAAUUUACCGUCACCGUGACCGGUCUCAGCCAACGUGAAAAAGCAAAUCUCGUUACAUCGUCCGUGAAAAACGUUCGUCGAUAUUCAGGCUGCGUUUGCUGCACGAUCGGACACCGUGGCGCUUUCUGUCUAUUACAUUAUGCUUGUAAUGGCCGUGAUUACACCAUGAUCAUGCCGGGGAGCCUUUAUACCGACAAGUUAGAGGUGCGUUCACUUUGGGAACAAAAACGGGAGUUUGAGGUUGUUUUGCAGCUACCCUGACGUUACAAGUUCUCGAGACUCGAAGAAAUUUUCAGGCAUUCAAAGGCCUCCAGCGUCCGCCAUUUUGGUGACUUGGUCUAUCGUCCCAGCGUUUGGAAAAGCCGAUCGUCGAGGCUGGAGGAUUUCAUUGGACCAUCGUUUGUUCGGGCGGCGAAAGUGCAGCGCGGACCGAAGGAAUCAGCGCGAUAAGCGCUGCGCCGAGGCCGACUUUCGGUACUUUAUUACGAGGCUGGAAAGGACACGCCGGAUACGCCGCUUACAAAUUACGUUGUUCCGAGUACGAUCGAUCUCGCGGAUCGCCAUUAUACCGAUCCAUCGACGAACAGCGGAGGAAUUGGCCAGAAAAGCUGAACGAGACUAUUUUAAAACGUGACCUGCCUUCGAAGUGCUGUAAUUGUAUAAAAAAUCAACGAUGAUCGGUUCCCCGGCGAAAUAUACACGGAGCACGGAAACGGGGCUACGUUGGACCCGUGGCCAUCGUUAAGGGGAGCCAGGGGAACGGUCGAUAUCGCGUUUCCUGGUCAGGAGAGGCCGUAGCAAGUGGACACACGGUCUCGGGGCCCAAGCGCGUGUAUCGACGGGGCUACAUAUUUAUUUAACUAAUAAUAAAUGGCUGUGUAGCUCGCAGGCGUACAACUUGCCCCGUAUAUAAGGACAAUACAUCUCUAUUUUAUUCGUUCGGGUAUAAUGGAUAGCGGACUUUAUGUGUACGUACACCGCGGUAACAAUAUAAUCGUGAUCCCGCGAGACCGCUCUUAUAAAGCCGCUUUUGCAAGAAUGGCCGCUCACGUGAGACAAUAUGCGGAAAUCGUAUUAUACGAAGCCGCGGGGUAGAAACCGCCACCGCGACCGGGACAAUAAGAUCGACGUCGGCGAAAGGGCGGCUCGAUACCCGUUCCUGACGAGCUUUUUCUACUUUUUUUCCCAUAUCCUUUCUUCAUUGAUUUCGCCUCUCGAAAUGCCCCAGUACAGGCUCUUCGACGAGAAGAAAUCCACGCUGGCCUCAGCCGGAAAGCAAAAAUUCAAUUUUAAAAAUAAAAUUUGAUCCAAAUUGUCUGACCAUUUCUGAUCCAUGGCAUUUUUGAUGUUUCAACGUAGGCUAUAAAUUUAAUGAGAGAUUCUAGAGGCCAAAAUAAGACGAAAAUCAAGAAUACCAAUUAGUUAAUUAAGGCAUCGUUAAAAA